GACGAACGCUGGCGGCGCGCUUAACACAUGCAAGUCGAACGGAAAGGCCUGCUUUCCCUUGUGGAUUGCGGGUACUCGAGUGGCGAACGGGUGAGUAACACGUGAGUGAUCUGCCCCCAACUUGGGUAUAAGCCUGGGAAACUGGGUCUAAUUCCCGAUAGGACUGCAGGGUGGUGCCUGUGGUGGAAAACGAUUUUCUAGUUGUUGGGGAUGAGCUCGCGGCCUAUCAGCUUGUUGGUGGGGUAAUGGCCUACCAAGGCGGCGACGGGUAGCCGGCCUGAGAGGGUGGACGGCCACAUUGGGACUGAGAUACGGCCCAGACUCCUACGGGAGGCAGCAGUGGGGAAUAUUGCACAAUGGGCGGAAGCCUGAUGCAGCGACGCCGCGUGGGGGAUGACGGCCUUCGGGUUGUAAACUCCUUUCGACCGCGAGGAAGCCACCUGGUUGGAAGGGUGGUGACGGUAGUGGUAGAAGAAGCACCGGCUAACUACGUG
rnacentral:rRNA from 1 species